rnacentral:rRNA from 1 species
CCUACAGGAGGCUGCAGUGGGGAAUAUUGGACAAUGGGGGCAACCCUGAUCCAGCCAUGCCGCGUGUGUGAAGAAGGCCCUCGGGUUGUAAAGCACUUUCAGUGAGGAAGAACGCCUGGUGGUUAAUACCCAUCAGGAAAGACAUCACUCACAGAAGAAGCACCGGCUAACUCCGUGCCAGCAGCCGCGGUAAUACGGAGGGUGCGAGCGUUAAUCGGAAUUACUGGGCGUAAAGCGCGCGUAGGUGGCUUGAUAAGCCGGUUGUGAAAGCCCCGGGCUCAACCUGGGAACGGCAUCCGGAACUGUCAAGCUAGAGUGCAGGAGAGGAAGGUAGAAUUCCCGGUGUAGCGGUGAAAUGCGUAGAGAUCGGGAGGAAUACCAGUGGCGAAGGCGGCCUUCUGGACUGACACUGACACUGAGGUGCGAAAGCGUGGGUAGCAAACAGGAUUAGAUACCCUAGUAGUC